CCAAUAGCGUAUAUUAAAGUUGUUGCAGUUAAAAAGCUCGUAGUUGAAUUUCGGGAUUAGUAGGUUGGUCGUGCCUCUGGUAUGUACUCGCCUUACUGAUUCCUCCUUCUUGAAGAACUGUAAUGCCAUUAAUUUGGUGUUGCAGGGAAACAGGACUGUUACUUGGAAAAAAUUAGAGUGUUUAAAGCAGGCCAAUGCUUGAUUACAUUAGCUUGGAAUAAUGAAAUAGGACGUUGAUCCUAUUUUGUUGGUUUCUAGGAUUGACGUAAUGAUUAAUAGGGAUAGUUGGGGGCAUUAGUAUUCAAUUGUCAGAGGUGAAAUUCUUGGAUUUAUUGAAGACUAACUACUGCGAAAGCAUUUGCCAAGGAUGUUUUCAUUAAUCAAGAACGAAAGUUAGGGGAUCGAAGACGAUCAGAUACCGUCGUAGUCUUAACCAUAAACUAUGCCGACUAGGGAUCGGAUGAUGUUAAUUUUUUAAUGACUCAUUCGGCGCCUUACG
rnacentral:rRNA from 1 species